rnacentral:snoRNA from 1 species
AUCCCAUGAUGAGAACACUCAAGUAUGUAGUCUUGAAAGCGCUCCCAAGCUUUUGGGACUAUCUCAUCAUGUUGAUGUUGAAAACUUGAUAUCUUUCCACGCAGAGCAU